GUGAGAGAGACAUUUUCAUAAACGAGUCCACCAUCACUCAGAAUUAUUUUCUGAAAUUUGGCCUCUAUUCCUUACUCUGGAGGAAAGGCAGUACGGGCACCUGGCUUCCAAUCAAGCCCGACGCACAGGACUGGGUAAGCCACACAAAAGGAGAGGGACCCUGCAUUGCUCAUCACAGCUGGAGCUGCGGAAAAUCAUUUCUAGGGCUCCUCAACUCUCCGGAACAAGCCAGAGGAAGCCUCAUCAGAGGUUCCAUUCAUCUGACUUCUUACUUUUAAACUUUAAAUCACAUAUUUAUGUGCCUCAAGUUGCCCAUGAACCACAGCAUGUCAAACAGUUCGGGGUUGAUGGAAGAGGUACAUUUUCUCGUCCUGGGACUUUCAGAAAUACAAUUUCAUUGCCAGUCUCUCUCCCUUCCAAUUUCUCCCGUAUGCUGCCACGAGAUGAAUAUUCCUAACAUCCUGCUUUCAAUACAUUAUUCACCUGUUCAAGGACCUUCCAAGGCCACUUCUUGAUCCCUUAAGGCUGGGAUACUCAGAUUGGCAUUCAAGGCCUUCCAUAAAUGUGGCCUCAGCGCCCACAACCUCCUCACAUUCACUCUCCCAGACUGCCACA
rnacentral:lncRNA from 1 species